rnacentral:rRNA from 1 species
GAUGAACGCUGGCGGCGUGCCUAAUACAUGCAAGUCGAGCGAACAGACGAGGAGCUUGCUCCUCUGACGUUAGCGGCGGACGGGUGAGUAACACGUGGAUAACCUACCUAUAAGACUGGGAUAACUUCGGGAAACCGGAGCUAAUACCGGAUAAUAUAUUGAACCGCAUGGGUCAAUAGUGAAAUACGGUUUUUCUGUCUCUUAUAGAUGCAUCCCCGCCUCAUUAGCUAGUUGGGAAGGUAACGGCCUACCAAGGCAACGAGGCGUAGCCGAACUGAGAGGGGGAUAGGCGACACGGGAGCUGGGCCACGGUCCAGACUCCUAAGGGAGGCAGCAGUCGGGAAUCGUACGCAGUGGGCGGAAGCUUGACGGAGCAACGCCGAGUGAGUGAUGAAGGUCUUCGGAUCGUAAAACCCUGUUACUAGGGAAGAACAAAUGUGUAAGUAAAUAUGGCCGUAUUGACGGUACCUAAUCAGAAAGCCACGGCUAACUACGUG